rnacentral:rRNA from 1 species
GUGGAUUAGAUACCCUGGUAGUCCUGGCCUUAAACGAUGAAUACUUGGUGUCUGGAGUCUCUAUAGCUCCGGGUGCCGUCGCUAACGUUUUUAGUAUUCCGCCUGGGGAGUACGCACGCAAGUGUGAAACUCAAAGGAAUUGACGGGGACCCGCACAAGCGGUGGAGCAUGUGGUUUAAUUCGACGCAACGCGAAGAACCUUACCUAGGCUAGAAUGUGAGGGAAUCUUGGGUAACGCCAAGAGUCCGGGAAACCGGACCCAAAACAAGGUGCUGCAUGGCCGUCGUCAGCU